AGAAGGAAGCCAGAGAGGCUUUACGAGGGUGAAGUUACGACUUUCAUGGUAAAGCAAUGGAUGGCACAGAUGCCAUACUUUGUUCAAGGUUUAUGUCGGUCUUGUUGUACGGAAUGAUGAAAAUCCCUGGUGCUUAUCCCCACUGCUGUCCUUGCAUGAUAGGCUACGUCAACUCUUUAGACGUUCUCCCUUGCCACGUGCCCUCCAACAUCCUUACCAUCCGGAGUCACUUCCCUUCCUGCUUUUAGUCAAUCUUAUCUCUAACCCCCCACAUGAAACCAUACUUGUCUGUUUUCUACACUGCCACGUGUCCUCCCAUCCUUUACGUGGUACGAGCUUCCUCUUCACAUGGCACGUGUACGAUCAUCCUGUCAUGCACCUUGAGCUCCUCUGCUCCCAGAGUCGCACCCCCACCGACUCCAUUGCCUAUAUAAAUCCCAAACCUAUUCCCCAACCUUUCAUUCAUCAUCAGACGAAACCAAGCUUACUGAUUGAUUCCGAUUUCUUGUUGCCGCUUUCAUACUCAGUUCCGUUUCAAAUUUCAUCGAUCGUUUCAACACAAUGGCAUAUCAGCAAGAUCCAUGCGCCAACCCAACGCAUCAGACUGGCAAGACCGGAGGCCAGACCGACCAGUAUGGAAACCCAGUCCAUCAAACCGAGGCCAUGGGCGCGUAUGGUGCGGGAACUGGCACUGGUAUGCAUGGUGGGGAGCAUCAGCAGCAGCCCCACCAACAACCCGGCGUGCUUCAUCGCUCCGGCAGCUCUGUAAGUUGCCAUGCCAAAUGCCAAAUCGUUAUUAAUUAGCUUUGAUAUCUUGGUUUUGUUAUUUUGACUGGAUUUGAUACGCAGUCAUCCGAGGACGAUGGGCAAGGUGGGAGAAGGAAGAAAGGGAUGAAGGAGAAGAUAAAAGAGAGGAUACCGGGCAUGGGACGCAAGGACGAGCAGAAGCAUACGAGCGCCACAAGUACGCCGGGGCAGGGGCAGCAACAGAAAGGAAUGAUGGAGAAGAUCAAGGAGAAGCUGCCUGGGGGCCACUAGGUGUGUCUGGAAAUGAAGGGGACGUGGUCUAAUCGUUUGUAACUGAAACGAGAGUCUAGGUCCAUAGGUCAUAGGUGAAUGGGUGAUGCAUAAGCGUUUGGUUAUGAACCAGACGAGUCUAAAUUGAGUUAAUAAAUUGCUGGACUGCUGCUAUAUGCAGCCCGGCAUCUGCUUU
rnacentral:lncRNA from 1 species